GAUGAACGCUGGCGGCGUGCCUAAUACAUGCAAGUCGAGCGAACAGACGAGGAGCUUGCUCCUUUGACGUUAGCGGCGGACGGGUGAGUAACACGUAGGUAACCUACCUAUAAGACUGGGAUAACUUCGGGAAACCGGAGCUAAUACCGGAUAAUAUUUCGAACCGCAUGGUUCGAUAGUGAAAGAUGGCUUUGCUAUCACUUAUAGAUGGACCUGCGCCGUAUUAGCUAGUUGGUAAGGUAACGGCUUACCAAGGCAACGAUACGUAGCCGACCUGAGAGGGUGAUCGGCCACACUGGAACUGAGACACGGUCCAGACUCCUACGGGAGGCAGCAGUAGGGAAUUUUCCGCAAUGGGCGAAAGCCUGACGGAGCAACGCCGCGUGAGUGAUGAAGGUCUUCGGAUCGUAAAACUCUGUUAUUAGGGAAGAACAAACGUGUAAGUAACUGUGCACGUCUUGACGGUACCUAAUCAGAAAGCCACGGCUAACUACGUG
rnacentral:rRNA from 1 species